UUUGAAACCCUAACCUUAAACAUAUCAGCCGUUCACCAUCUACCUUCCCUCUCAAAUUCUUUAUCUCCUUCACUUUAUCCACACACACCCAUAAACCACCUUAUUCUCUCAUAUCUCAGACAUAACAUAAACAAACACCCUGUCUCCUCUCUUGAAGUUAAUGAGUUGAUUUGUGUUGUUGGCUUCUGUGUCGAAGAUGGUGAUGAUGUUGAAGACGGCUCGGGUGUUGGUUCAGCCCGGGUCGCGUAGGUUUUAGAUUCGGGUCGAGGGUGGUUCGAGCUUCAUAUUCUAAGUUUGUUUCGGGUUAUUGUACGAAACAACACAACAUGAAGAAGUUAUAGAAAGUAUUCCAUUGUUUGCUAGAGAACUGAUUGCCGGUGGUGUUACCGGUGGAGUUGCCAAGACAACCGUUGCUCCUCUCGAGCGUCUCAAGAUCUUGUUUCUGGUUAACUUUGCUUUUUAGUGUGCUGAUUGUUGGUGCUGAUUUUGUUUUUUUUUUUUUUUCCGGUGGUUCAUAAUUAGGUUAUUUUCAAAUUGUGCAUAUAGUAUUUUGGGCGAAACUUGUGUUUUAAUGGAUUUUGAAACCACUCAAAUUAUAACAAUUAUUUAACUUUAGACAUGUUAUAAGAAUCCAGCACAUGUUAUAAGAAUCCAGGUUGACUUGUUUAACAAUUAACAUAUUCAAGGACCAAAAGGGGAGACAUAAGUGAAUGUUGGAGUUUCGUGUGGAAUUAUAAUACACAUCGAACAAGUUGGGAGGUGCGGGGGUGCACGCUUGUGUUCCGAAUCAUAUUUAUCAUUAUGCAUUUUUCAGCACGAAAAAGCAAGUAUUUUUUGUUUUUUUUUUUUAAUUUUUUAAUAGUAUCCGUAGGAAACAUGUAGGAAAAAGAAUAAACAGGUUUUGUCACAUUCUGUAGGAAACAAAGAUAAAUUCGUAGGAAAUGUGUGGGAAAAAAUAAUACAUUUUGUUGGAAUUGUGUAGGAAAAAACUAUUUUUGUAGAAAUUGUGUAGGAAUCAAGAACACAUUUCGUUGGAACUGUGUAGG
rnacentral:lncRNA from 1 species